ACGGGAGGCAGCAGUGGGGAAUAUUGCACAAUGGGCGCAAGCCUGAUGCAGCAACGCCGCGUGAGGGACGAAGGCCUUCGGGUUGUAAACCUCUUUUAGUAGGGAAGAAGCGACUGGGUUUUCCUGGGAGUGACGGUACCUGCAGAAAAAGCACCGGCUAACUACGUGCCAGCAGCCGCGGUAAUACGUUGGGUGCAAGCGUUGUCCGGAAUUAUUGGGCGUAAAGAGCUCGUAGGCGGUUUGUCGCGUCUGCUGUGAAAACCCGAGGCUCAACCUCGGGCCUGCAGUGGGUACGGGCAGACUAGAGUGCGGUAGGGGAGAUUGGAAUUCCUGGUGUAGCGGUGGAAUGUGCAGAUAUCAGGAGGAACACCAAUGGCGAAGGCAGAUCUCUGGGCCGUAACUGACGCUGAGGAGCGAAAGCAUGGGGAGCGAACAGGAUUAGAUACCCUGGUAGUCCAUGCCGUAAACGUUGGGAACUAGAUGUGGGGACCAUUCCACGGUCUCCGUGUCGCAGCUAACGCAUUAAGUUCCCCGCCUGGGGAGUACGGCCGCAAGGCUAAAACUCAAAGGAAUUGACGGGGGCCCGCACAAGCGGCGGAGCAUGCGGAUUAAUUCGAUGCAACGCGAAGAACCUUACCAAGGCUUGACAUAUACCGGAAACGGCUGGAAACAGUCGCCCCGCAAGGUCGGUAUACAGGUGGUGCAUGGUUGUCGUCAGCUCGUGUCGUGAGAUGUUGGGUUAAGUCCCGCAACGAGCGCAACCCUCGUCCUAUGUUGCCAGCACGUAAUGGUGGGAACUCAUGGGAUACUGCCGGGGUCAACUCGGAGGAAGGUGGGGAUGACGUCAGAUCAUCAUGCCCCUUAUGUCUUGGGCUUCACGCAUGCUACAAUGGCCGGUACAAAGGGCUGCGAUACCGCAAGGUGGAGCGAAUCCCAAAAAGCCGGUCUCAGUUCGGAUUGAGGUCUGCAACUCGACCUCAUGAAGUUGGAGUCGCUAGUAAUCGCAGAUCGGCAACGCUGCGGUGAAUACGUUCCCGGGCAUC
rnacentral:rRNA from 1 species